ACUCGGCUUUACCGAUCGGUUCCGGGUUCGAGUCCCGGGCAACCCA
rnacentral:tRNA from 1 species